GAGCAGCUCUUUUCCUUGCCUUCUACAUUUGUGGCUGUUGCAUUUGGGUUCAUUCUCAUGUGCUUUAGCCAAAGACUUUGCCACUCUGCUAUUAUCAUCCCAUUCUAGCAACACAGAAAGGCAGUUUCAGUGAUUUGUACUUAUGUGUCAAUCACGCAUGUGGAUCUGUGGUGGCUCAGCCACCUGUGGGAGCUAUUCAACACAGGGAACAGAGGGUUUCCUGCUGUGCCUAACUCUGCCUGGGAUUUCUAUGGUGGCAAAUCUCAUUCUGGAAGUGGAGACAUCGAAAACUAUGGGGGCAUGUAUCAGGCUCACCAAGUCUGUGGGAUCUUGUCUCUUAGGAAACAUGGUUAGAAGGAUAAGCAGUUCUGCCAACUUCUCUGAGGCCAGCGUGGCCUGGUCAUCUAAACAGCUUACAGUGAUGCACACCUGCCUUCAAGCUUGGAAUGCUCUACCAAAUUCAAGAAAUGCUGCUAUUCAGAAAUUCAGCUGUUAGAAGAUACUGGAAGCAUACUCUGUGUCUUCAGUCAGUGAGUAAAGUAAGUCUGAUGAAUUGUGGUUUUGAAGCAGAUAAUCUAGAAUUUUUUCUUGAUUUAGGUCUGGCUUCUGAAUCUUUUCCAGAACAUGAAGCACUAACUGGCUGAUCACAGAAGAGGUAACUCAUCUCCUCUUUCUUAUUCCUCAAGACAAAUAAGCUCAUGUUAGCAGCAAGGAAGUAAGUCCAAAGCACAGAAAUGCUGGUGCAUCCCUUUAUUUGCAGUAAGGAUUCUUUUUAAGUUUAAGUUGAAGACAGGUAUCCAC